rnacentral:tRNA from 1 species
CCUGGUAGCUCAACUGGUAAAGAAUCUGCCUGCAAUGCAGGAGACCCAGGUUUGAUUCCUGGGUCAGGA